AGAGUUUGAUCCUGGCUCAGAUUGAACGCUGGCGGAAUGCUUUACACAUGCAAGUCGAACGGCAGCACGGACUUCGGUCUGGUGGCGAGUGGCGAACGGGUGAGUAAUAUAUCGGAACGUGCCCAGUCGUGGGGGAUAACGUAGUGAAAAUUACGCUAAUACCGCAUACGAUCUAAGGAUGAAAGCGGGGGAUCGCAAGACCUCGCGCGAUUGGAGCGGCCGACAUCAGAUUAGGUAGUUGGUGAGGUAAAGGCUCACCAAGCCAACGAUCUGUAGCUGGUCUGAGAGGACGACCAGCCACACUGGAACUGAGACACGGUCCAGACUCCUACGGGAGGCAGCAGUGGGGAAUUUUGGACAAUGGACGCAAGUCUGAUCCAGCCAUUCCGCGUGCAGGACGAAGGCCUUCGGGUUGUAAACUGCUUUUGUACAGAACGAAAAGGUCUCUAUUAAUACUAGGGGCUCAUGACGGUACUGUAAGAAUAAGCACCGGCUAACUACGUGCCAGCAGCCGCGGUAAUACGUAGGGUGCAAGCGUUAAUCGGAAUUACUGGGCGUAAAGCGUGCGCAGGCGGUUAUAUAAGACAGAUGUGAAAUCCCCGGGCUCAACCUGGGAACUGCAUUUGUGACUGUAUAGCUGGAGUGCGGCAGAGGGGGAUGGAAUUCCGCGUGUAGCAGUGAAAUGCGUAGAUAUGCGGAGGAACACCGAUGGCGAAGGCAAUCCCCUGGGCCUGCACUGACGCUCAUGCACGAAAGCGUGGGGAGCAAACAGGAUUAGAUACCCUGGUAGUCCACGCCCUAAACGAUGUCAACUG
rnacentral:rRNA from 1 species